CAGGAAAGAAAGAAAACACUUUAUUUGUAAAGAGAAAAUGGAACUUAGUACAUAUGCCAAAAUAAAUCUGUAACGCAGGCCACUUCUCUGGGCCCCAUCUUGAGUAGGUUAAAGGGUCACCUUAAAGACUAGAAACACAAUUAAGAGGCACAAAUCCACACAGAAAAUAUGCAUAUUUUGUCUCCUUUCCCCCCAAAACAAGCUGCAUAUACUUGUGUAAACUUGUUGAUUUGUAAAACAUGUCUAGUACUGCAGACAAAUGUGUGGGAUGAAAUAAAAGCCAUGAAAACAGGGCCAGGUGGAAUAAGUUCUCCUAGCUCAGAAGGAUCUCAACCUCUUGCAAGUUACUUUUCACUUUUAAGGGCCCUUCAAGAAGCAUUUGCUUAGCUCUGUAUCCAGGCCAUCUCUCCCUCCCCGAAGAGCAACAGACCAGCAACUGACAUUAAGAUCACAUGGGUGGGUGGGGAGUAGAAUUGCGGGGGUGACAGUUCCAGCCAAUCCAGACAACGAAUCAUUGUUUGGAGGAACCAGAGCCUCAAAGGGUGAGUGCACUGACUAGGGCUGGCUCUCCAUCUGUUCACACAUUUGUUGAGUGCCUACUCUAUGCCAAAGCACUGUGUUUUGGUGCCCUGGGGAGCACAAAAUUGGGAUAGCUCCUGCCCUC
rnacentral:antisense_RNA from 1 species